UUGAACGCUGGCGGCAGGCCUAACCCAUGCAAGUCGAACGGUAACAGGAAGCAGCUUGCUGCUUCGCUGACGAGUGGCGGACGGGUGAGUAAUGUCUGGGAAGCUGCCUGAUGGAGGGGGAUAACUACUGGAAACGGUAGCUAAUACCGCAUAAUGUCGCAAGACCAAAGAGGGGGACCUUCGGGCCUCUUGCCAUCGGAUGUGCCCAGAUGGGAUUAGCUUGUUGGUGGGGUAACGGCUCACCAAGGCGACGAUCCCUAGCUGGUCUGAGAGGAUGACCAGCCACACUGGGACUGAGACACGGUCCAGACUCCUACGGGAGGCAGCAGUGGGGAAUAUUGCACAAAGGGCGCAAGCCUGAUGCAGCCAUGCCGCGUGUAUGAAGAAGGCCUUCGGGUUGUAAAGUACUUUCAGCGGGGAGGAAGGGAGUAAAGUUAAUACCUUUGCUCAUUGACGUUACCCGCAGAAGAAGCACCGGCUAACUCCGUG
rnacentral:rRNA from 1 species